rnacentral:lncRNA from 1 species
AUUCUUCUCGCGGUAAAAACUUCCAACUGUCGUACGUACGUAACCGGUAAAAGCAAGAGACGAAAACAAAAGCAAAAUAACAAAACAAAACAAAACAAAACAGAGAUCUUAACAACAGCCAAGGUGCAUUGCAGGUGAGGUGAGGCAGGGCAAGGGCGGUGCUCCAACGAUGAAAGUUCUGCGGCAGCAAGCGGAAAAUGAAGAUCAAUGAAGAUUGAGCAAUGAGAUUGAAGAUAUUUAUAGAGGAAGUUACCGUUGUUUUAUGUAA